UACAGAGGUCUCAAGCGUUGUUCGGAUUCAUUGGGCGUAAAGGGUGCGUAGGCGGCGCGGUAAGUCGGGUGUGAAAUCUCGGAGCUUAACUCCGAAACUGCAUUCGAUACUGCCGUGCUUGAGGACUGGAGAGGAGACUGGAAUUUACGGUGUAGCGGUGAAAUGCGUAGAUAUCGUGAGGAAGACCAGUGGCGAAGGCGGGUCUCUGGACAGUUCCUGACGCUGAGGCACGAAGGUCAGGGGAGCAAACGGG
rnacentral:rRNA from 1 species